UCUCUCCUGAAAUUCAGAGAAAAAUGUCAGUUGCUUGAAAAAAGAACGUCCUGUCAGAUCAACGCCUGCUACAGGAAUGAUGAGAUGAGCGAUAUUGACAGAUGAAAAUUGACGAAAAUCGGUAGUUUACGUAAAUAACUAAGACUCGUUAAUCUAUUUUGCCACAACAAUCAGCAAACAAAUACUUUUACUGAAUUUCGGCAAAGCGAAUCUGUCAAAAUCUUAAAAUCAGAGCUGCAGGAGCCAACAUGUGUUCGGAAUGUUUUAAAACGUUCUGGUAAACAGCGAGUGGAAAGCGCCUGCAUGAAUAUUGCUUGGAACGUCUCACCCUCGAAAUGGAAUUGCAGCCAAAAUGGUCGUGCGGCUAUUAAAUAUUUGCUUCAAACGGAAAAGCGCAACGUUCCCCAAAGUGAGCGAGAAGGGAAAUGUGGCUCAUAUAUUUGUGAUGCAAUAAUACAUUAACUUCAAAUAAAUUUGUUUAUAUUAUUUAAAUUUA